GGCAUCAUUGCAGUGAUGCUUUGGGAAUUGAAUUGCCCCCACCACAGAAUAGUGGGGUGUACGUGAGGAAUUUAUGGACUUAGAGAAGGGGCAGCUGUUUUGAACAUCAAUGGACAGCUUAAAGAAACAGAAUGACAAGUUAAAAUCCUUGAAUUCUAGGCUCAUAGCACAGACUGAAAUACAUGGAGUUUCUAGGAUCAAGAUAAAAGAAUCUCUUAUCUUUUGUUGCUGCAGGGACUGAGCUGGCAAAAAACAAAAUGUGGUAUUAGAGAUAGUAAAAUUAGACUAUCAGUUGAAUUCAGAGCUUUUCCUCGUCUCUUACGUAAAAAUUAGAGAAUUGGUAGGGAAAGAUAUUUUGGCACCCUGAACACUAACUCCCAUUGAUAGCCCAUUGACACUGAAGAAUACACUAUGAAAAUUCCUUGUACCUCUUCUUAAAGACACCCAUCGCGACUUACCAAGGUAAGGAUGCCCUGGGAAAAUGGAACUGCUAAGAUCUUUUGGAGAUGCUUAGACACAAGCAUUAAACACAUUAAUCUAUUUUGCCAAUUGGGAGGAUUUUCUCUCUGAAACCUACUGGAUGACUUGUGGAGCUCAUGGGCAAAAUAAUGCCACGAGAAGUCCAGUUUUCUCUUGUGCUUUGAUAAUAGUUUCAAAUUGCCUUAAAUAUCAACUUACCAGAAUUUACGGCAAAUGGCUGCCAGUUUGCCUAGAAACUAGAUAAGGGAUCUCAAAGGAACUGACGUGGGGGACUAAUGACAGAUUUUUUUUUUUUGGUGGGAGUGGGGCAUUGGGGAAGAGAAUCAUGGAAGAAUUUUUUAAAAUGGGCUCAGAACAUAAAGAAUAUUCAUGCUACAUAUUAAUGCAAAGGACAUUUCUAGCCAAACAGCUCAUACAUUUAGAUGGACAAGAUAACCUAAUCUCCCAAUGUAGGUCAUCUUCCUUCUAUAGCAACUUUAGAAUUUAAUGAACAAAGUGGCCAUGAUUGAAAAGAUAGUGGCUACUCACAAGCACAACAACACAGGUUUCCCCUUAGCAGUGUACCAAGAUAUUUUACCAAAAGUAGUAAAUACAAACCUACAAUACUAUAGGAUAACUGUUUGGACAAGUGUUUGUUUGAAGUCAGUUGAUGAUUGUUUUACUGCUUUUGUCGUGAAGGAUUCAUGUAGUGCCUCAAGUCAGCAUCGUUAUACCUUACACAACUGAAUGCUUAAUUCAAUGUCAUUAUAUUUCUCAUAAUUUCUUCCAAGCAAGGAACUCAAUUUCCUAUGAACAAAGCAGGAAAAUGGGGUAAUGCCCUUAGGUUACUUUAGUCUUAUAUACUUUAUUGAAGAAUAAGUUAGGUAUCAUGUCAUAGGAUACUACCUAUGAUUUGAAACAUUUGAAACAUAUAUAUUGCUAUUUAUUUCAGUCAGUACACAAUAGAAUUGAAAUUAGUACAUCUUCCAAUUAAACCUAAUUAGUUAUUCACAAUAUCUUUAUUCCUAUCUCUGAAAUAAUGGGAAUACUGGUUUAGAAACUAGUAAUAUUCAAGGGAGAAAUGUUACACCAGGGUAUUCAGUAAUGGUUGCAUGGGAGUAAACAUUGCCAGCUGGCCAAUUCAGAAUCUCAUGACCUGAGUCAGCAAACAAUCAGGUGGGUUAGUGUGUUGUAUAGGGUAAUUGAUAUUGAAAGUCAAGAGGAAAGAUAAUUGAUGAUACAUAAUACAUCAGGAAGGGUGGGUCCCCAGUUGGUCCCAUGGGGAAUUUUUAUGUGACCAUAUUUAUUUGUAAAAGACUGAGCUGUACAUAUAAAACUGGCAGGAGUUCAGAACCCCUAAGAAUGAAAGAUUUACAUAAAUCUACUUUUCCUUUCUUUCAGUCACUACUAUGGCAAGAUCAAGACUGGAUCUAGGAGAUCUCGGUUCAAUAUGGAGAUUAUCCAGAGAUUCUACUGUUGGAGCCAGAUGCUAUAACUGAAGAGGGUUAAAACUGUCUCCUUUUGGGACACCGAAACAUAGAAGCCUGCCCGGGAAGAGCAGGGUAGAACUUAUAUUCUCUUUGUUCAGCUUCCCAGAGGAAUAAGAAGGCCAGAGUGAAGCCAGGAUAGGAAGAAACAUGAAGCGAUGAAACAUACUGAACAAUUCCAUGUUUAUGGAAAAAAAUUCUGGUAAUGAACUUACUUCACACCAAAGAGACAAGGAGUAGCAUCAUUACCUCAAGCAAUAUUGCCAGAGAAAAUCUUGACACAGAGAAGACAAGCUCAGUGCUUAAUGUGAAAAUUUAUCUGCACAUACAGAACCAGUCCAUAAUACAGGUAGGUGUAUUCAGAGAAGGGCUGGGGGAUACAAAUGGUACACCAUCAAAAUUUGCUGUGAUCGUUUGAGAAGUGUCUGUUCAUGUCUUUUGCCCACUUUUUAGUGAGGUUAUUGGUUUUUUGCUUGUUGAAUUGUUUAAGUUUCUAAACACAUGAAAAAAAUGCUCAGCAUCACUAAUCAUCAGAGAAAUGCAAAUAAAAGCCAAAGUGAGAUAACAUCUCACACCACUGAGAGUGAUUAUUAUUAAAAAGUCAAAAAACAACAGGUGCUGGUGAGGCUACAGAGGAAAGGGAAUGCUUAUAUACUGUUAAUGGGAAUGUAAUUUAGUUUAGCACCUGUGGAAAUCAGUUUGGAGAUUUCUCAAAGAACAUAAAAGAGAAAUAUCAUUCUACCCAGCAAUUCCAUUACUGGUUAUAUAUACAAAAGAAAAUAAAUUCUUAUCAAAAGGACACAUGUACUUGUGUGUUUAUCUCAGCACUGUUCACCAUGGUGAAGACAUGGAAUCAACCAAGGUGAUUAUCAAAAGGGAAGAGGAAUGGAUUAAAAAAUAUAUGGUAGAUAUAGACCAUGGAAUCCUAUGCUGCCGUAAAAGAGAACAAAAUCAUGUCCUUUGAGGCAACAGCAUGGAUGCAGCUGGAAGCCGUUAUCCUAAGUGAAUUAACAGAGGAACAGUAAACCAAACACCACACGGUCUUACUUAAAAGUGGGAGCUAAACAUUGGGUACUCAUGGACAUAAAGAUGCCUCAAUAGAUUACGAGGACAAACAGGAUUAAAAAACAUGCGUACUAUCCUCACCAUGUGGGACACAGGAUCAUUUUUACCCCAAACCUCAACAUCAUGCAAUAUACCCAUGUAACAAGCCUGUACAUGUACCUCCUGAAUCUACAAAAAAAAUGACUUUUUUUUUAAGAAUUUGCUGCAAUCUUGGAAAAAUUCUUCUUCAAAGUCUUCUAAAAGCAUUUUAACUUUUUAUUUACAUUUGGAAAUUCAAGCCAUCUAAAAUGAAAUCUAGCAUAUGGUCUGACAUAGGUGCCAACAUUAUUUUUAUAUACAUAUCCAGUUAAGGUGGCAUUAUUUAUUGAGAAGAUGAAGCUUCCUCUAUGGCUCUACAGUUUCUCCUUUGUCAUAGAUUAGUUUUCUCCAUUUUUGUGGGUUUGUUUGUAAACCCUGUAUUCUGUUCCACUGGUCUAUUUAUCAAUCCUUGUUUCAAUCCACACUGUUUAUAGUAAAGUGUUAUAAGAUGAUUUUUAGCUAUUAGUAUAAAAUUGCUGAUUUGCAAUU
rnacentral:misc_RNA from 1 species